rfam:TPA: Bos taurus chromosome 6, whole genome shotgun sequence.
UCCUUGAGGGUCCAGUGGUUAAGACGCCGCACUCUCAAUACAGAGGACCCAGGUUCAAUUCCUGGUCAGGAAC